rnacentral:rRNA from 1 species
CAGAGAUGCUUGUGGCCUUCGGGAACUCUGAGACAGGUGCUGCAUGGCUGUCGUCAGCUCGUGUUGUGAAAUGUUGGGUUAAGUCCCGCAACGAGCGCAACCCUUAUCCUUUGUUGCCAGCGGUCCGGCCGGGAACUCAAAGGAGACUGCCAGUGAUAAACUGGAGGAAGGUGGGGAUGACGUCAAGUCAUCAUGGCCCUUACGAGUAGGGCUACACACGUGCUACAAUGGCGCAUACAAAGGGAAGCGACCUCGCGAGAGCAAGCGGACCUCAUAAAGUGCGUCGUAGUCCGGAUUGGAGUCUGCAACUCGACUCCAUGAAGUCGGAAUCGCUAGUAAUCGUGGAUCAGAAUGCCACGGUGAAUACGUUCCCGGGCCUUGUACACACCGCCCGUCACACCAUGGGAGUGGGUUGCAAAAGAAGUAGGUAGCUUAACCUUCGGGAGGGCGCUUACCACUUUGUGAUUCAUGACUGGGGUGAAGUCGUAACAAGGUAAGCGUAGUGCU